GACGAACCGUGCGAACGUUAUUCGGAAUCACUGGGCUUAAAGGGCGCGUAGGCGGGCAGGCAAGUCGAAGGUGAAAUCCCACGGCUCAACCGUGGAAGUGCCCCCGAUACUGCCUGUCUGGAGGGAGAUAGGGGCGUGCGGAACUUCCGGUGGAGCGGUGAAAUGCGUAGAUAUCGGAAGGAACACCAAUAGCGAAGGCAGCUCGCUGGGACGGUACUGACGCUGAGGCGCGAAAGCGUGGGGAGCGAACAGG
rnacentral:rRNA from 1 species